ACAGUGCUGAUGCAGAUACAAUAGAAUCUCUCUUACCAGAACAGCAUGUUUCAGUUGGACAAAGUGCUGUUAUCUCUUGCAAAUACAGUGGCAUUGGGCCCAGCUUUUAUUGGUACCGCCAAUAUCCAGGAUCCAGACCUGAGUACCUUAUUUUUAAUGCAGAGACUGGAGUUUCUUCCGAACCCUCUUUACGUCUCAAAGCACAGGCUAAAAAAGCGAUCACAGAAGUGGAACUGGAGAUCUCCUCUACUGAAGUCAAAGACUCUGCUGUAUAUUACUGCGCUCUGAAGCCCACAGUGACAGGAAACCCACCUGCUCUCUACAAAAACUUAAUACAUGAACACAUCUUGCAUUACACAAACAUUGUGACACACCAGCUUCAAAUCAACCACAACAGAUCAAUGAUGCAACUGUUCUUACUUUUCCAAAUGUAAAGAAAUAAUGUUUGGUCUUUUGAUUUUAAGAAAAGGACAAGCCAUGAGUGAAGAUGAAGUCUCAGGCAGAGGGUGGAGCGUGUUCACAAAGGUGAAUGUUUGAAAGGCUUAUUCAUUUAGUCAUCACUUUACAAUCACUCUUCAUCAGAAACCAUCAUGUUUCUGUUUUGUUGGAUACCACUGACAUUACUCAUGGGAAAUUCUUUUGCUGUAACAAUACAGCCAUUGUCUUCUGAAAGGAAUAUUUUCAGAGGCGAAAAUGUGACUCUGUCCUGUAACUACAGUGGUCUGGUAUACAAUCUUCAAUGGUAUCGGCAAUAUAUGGGAUCUAGACCAGAGUUGCUGAUACUUGUUAAUGAAAAUUCAGAGGAAUCUGAGCCUUCUCUUCGUCUGUCAGCAAAAGACUCAAAAGAGAAGAAACAAGUGAAUCUUACAAUCUCUUCUGCUGAAUUGUCAGACUCUGCUGUAUAUUACUGCGCUCUGAGGCCCACAGUGACAAGAAACACAAGAACACUGAACAAAAACCCUGAUUUCAGUCAGAUGAUUUUGUACUUCACUGUAAAAACAUUUGUGUGUGUGUGUGUGUGUGUGUGUGUGUGUGUGUGUGUGUGUGUGUUACUGAUUUUAUUCUAUUGUUUAACACUUCAGUGA
rnacentral:lncRNA from 1 species